rnacentral:rRNA from 1 species
GAACCCCGGCGAGGGGAGUGAAAAAGAACCUGAAACCGUGUACGUACAAGCAGUGGGAGCCUCUUAAUGGGGUGACUGCGUACCUUUUGUAUAAUGGGUCAGCGACUUAUAUUCUGUAGCAAGGUUAACCGAAUAGGGGAGCCGAAGGGAAACCGAGUCUUAACUGGGCGUUAAGUUGCAGGGUAUAGACCCGAAACCCGGUGAUCUAGCCAUGGGCAGGUUGAAGGUUGGGUAACACUAACUGGAGGACCGAACCGACUAAUGUUGAAAAAUUAGCGGAUGACUUGUGGCUGGGGGUGAAAGGCCAAUCAAACCGGGAGAUAGCUGGUUCUCCCCGAAAGCUAUUUAGGUAGCGCCUCGUGAAUUCAUCUCCGGGGGUAGAGCACUGUUUCGGCAAGGGGGUCAUCCCGACUUACCAACCCGAUGCAAACUGCGAAUACCGGAGAAUGUUAUCACGGGAGACACACGGCGGGUGCUAACGUCCGUCGUGAAGAGGGAAACAACCCAGACCGCCAGCUAAGGUCCCAAAGUCAUGGUUAAGUGGGAAACGAUGUGGGAAGGCCCAGACAGCCAGGAUGUUGGCUUAGAAGCAGCCAUCAUUUAAAGAAAGCGUAAUAGCUCACUGGUCGAGUCGGCCUGCGCGGAAGAUGUAACGGGGCUAAACCAUGCACCGAAGCUGCGGCAGCGACACUAUGUGUUGUUGGGUAGGGGAGCGUUCUGUAAGCCUGUGAAGGUGUACUGUGAGGUAUGCUGGAGGUAUCAGAAGUGCGAAUGCUGACAUAAGUAACGAUAAAGCGGGUGAAAAGCCCGCUCGCCGGAAGACCAAGGGUUCCUGUCCAACGUUAAUCGGGGCAGGGUGAGUCGACCCCUAAGGCGAGGCCGAAAGGCGUAGUCGAUGGGAAACAGGUUAAUAUUCCUGUACUUGGUGUUACUGCGAAGGGGGGACGGAGAAGGCUAUGUUGGCCGGGCGACGGUUGUCCCGGUUUAAGCGUGUAGGCUGGUUUUCCAGGCAAAUCCGGAAAAUCAAGGCUGAGGCGUGAUGACGAGGCACUACGGUGCUGAAGCGACAAAUGCCCUGCUUCCAGGAAAAGCCUCUAAGCAUCAGGUAACAUCAAAUCGUACCCCAAACCGACACAGGUGGUCAGGUAGAGAAUACCAAGGCGCUUGAGAGAACUCGGGUGAAGGAACUAGGCAAAAUGGUGCCGUAACUUCGGGAGAAGGCACGCUGAUAUGUAGGUGAAGCGACUUGCUCGUGGAGCUGAAAUCAGUCGAAGAUACCAGCUGGCUGCAACUGUUUAUUAAAAACACAGCACUGUGCAAACACGAAAGUGGACGUAUACGGUGUGACGCCUGCCCGGUGCCGGAAGGUUAAUUGAUGGGGUUAGCGGUAACGCGAAGCUCUUGAUCGAAGCCCCGGUAAACGGCGGCCGUAACUAUAACGGUCCUAAGGUAGCGAAAUUCCUUGUCGGGUAAGUUCCGACCUGCACGAAUGGCGUAAUGAUGGCCAGGCUGUCUCCACCCGAGACUCAGUGAAAUUGAACUCGCUGUGAAGAUGCAGUGUACCCGCGGCAAGACGGAAAGACCCCGUGAACCUUUACUAUAGCUUGACACUGAACAUUGAGCCUUGAUGUGUAGGAUAGGUGGGAGGCUUUGAAGUGUGGACGCCAGUCUGCAUGGAGCCGACCUUGAAAUACCACCCUUUAAUGUUUGAUGUUCUAACGUGGGCCCCUUACCGGGGUUGCGGACAGUGUCUGGUGGGUAGUUUGACUGGGGCGGUCUCCUCCUAAAGAGUAACGGAGGAGCACGAAGGUUGGCUAAUCCUGGUCGGACAUCAGGAGGUUAGUGCAAUGGCAUAAGCCAGCUUGACUGCGAGCGUGACGGCGCGAGCAGGUGCGAAAGCAGGUCAUAGUGAUCCGGUGGUUCUGAAUGGAAGGGCCAUCGCUCAACGGAUAAAAGGUACUCCGGGGAUAACAGGCUGAUACCGCCCAAGAGUUCAUAUCGACGGCGGUGUUUGGCACCUCGAUGUCGGCUCAUCACAUCCUGGGGCUGAAGUAGGUCCCAAGGGUAUGGCUGUUCGCCAUUUAAAGUGGUACGCGAGCUGGGUUUAGAACGUCGUGAGACAGUUCGGUCCCUAUCUGCCGUGGGCGCUGGAGAACUGAGGGGGGCUGCUCCUAGUACGAGAGGACCGGAGUGGACGCAUCACUGGUGUUCGGGUUGUCAUGCCAAUGGCACUGCCCGGUAGCUAAAUGCGGAAGAGAUAAGUGCUGAAAGCAUCUAAGCACGAAACUUGCCCCGAGAUGAGUUCUCCCUGACUCCUUGAGAGUCCUGAAGGAACGUUGAAGACGACGACGUUGAUAGGCCGGGUGUGUAAGCGCAGCGAUGCGUUGAGCUAACCGGUACUAAUGAACCGUGAGGCUUAACCUUACAACGCCGAAG